AGACAAGCCAGAAGGAAUCUCAGACCUCCUUUAAAAAUGUGGCCAUAGAUUUGCUUUCUAUGUGCUUUUCCAAACACUGAAGGAUAUGGGCCAUUGAGGCAGAAUGCUGUGAGCUGCUUCAGUGAGGGGGAAGAGAAAAGUCAUUAACAUGAAUCACAGCACCCCAAAUAGAGUUCUUCAUUCAGGAUCCAAGGUCAAGACAUGGAGGGCAUAAAAGAUGGAGAAGAGGGGUAUGCAAUGGAGUGUGGAGCAGGCAGCACGAAGAAGGGAAGCAAGGAAGUGCGUGUGGUCCUGUUCCUUCCCUCACUUUCUUACGGACCCAUCAGAAAAACCAACACAUCCCGGGAGAACACGGAGCGGCUGCUCGUGGGGUGAUCACACAGAUCCCUGUCCCAACACCCAGGAAGGCCGUGACGUGCAGAUCUCACCUAGGCCCAGAGAGGAUCUGGAGUGCGACACGUUCUGGGGAGAUGGAGUCAGACCGGAG